CCGAACUCAGAAGUGAAACACAAUCGCGCCGAUGGUAGUGUGGGGUCUCCCCAUGCGAGAGUAGGUCAUCGCCAAGC
rnacentral:rRNA from 1 species